rnacentral:rRNA from 1 species
GCACAAGCAGUGGAGUAUGUGGUUUAAUUCGACGCAACGCGAAGAACCUUACCAAGUCUUGACAUCCUGCGACGGUUCUGGAAACAGAACUUUCCUUCGGGACGCAGAGACAGGUGGUGCAUGGUUGUCGUCAGCUCGUGUCGUGAGAUGUUGGGUUAAGUCCCGCAACGAGCGCAACCCUUAUGGUCAGUUACUACGCAAGAGGACUCUGGCCAGACUGCCGUUGAUAAAA